GGGGAAUAUUGCACAAUGGGCGAAAGCCUGAUGCAGCGACGCCGCGUGAGUGAAGAAGUAUUUCGGUAUGUAAAGCUCUAUCAGCAGGGACGAAUAAAUGACGGUACCUGACUAAGAAGCCCCGGCUAACUACGUGCCAGCAGCCGCGGUAAUACGUAGGGGGCAAGCGUUAUCCGGAUUUACUGGGUGUAAAGGGAGCGUAGACGGUGAUGUAAGUCAGAUGUGAAAGCCCGGGGCUCAACCCCGGGACUGCAUUUGAAACUAUGUUGCUAGAGUGCAGGAGAGGUAAGUGGAAUUCCUAGUGUAGCGGUGAAAUGCGUAGAUAUUAGGAGGAACACCAGUGGCGAAGGCGGCUUACUGGACUGUAACUGACGUUGAGGCUCGAAAGCGUGGGGAGCAAAC
rnacentral:rRNA from 1 species